rnacentral:lncRNA from 1 species
ACCUGAAAGUUUUUUUCUGGACAUUUUAGGAGACUUUGAUUGGUAAGCUUGCAAGGAUACACCGUAUGAGUUAACAAAGACCACAUCGAAUGACAGACUUCGAAGAAGGGGAGAACAUUAGCACUGAUAAUAUCGGCCCUUGAGGCUGCGCCUUUAACAGUCUGUUUCUCACCCCCGUACUUCUCUCUAUUUUAAAAGCUCCCCGAGACAUUCCGCACCACAACGACAUUGUUCCAGUCACUUUCUCUCAAAUUGAAGAGCCUGGUACUGAAGAAAGAGAGAAAAAGAGAGGGCGUCACAAGGUUUAACACACCCCUGUUCACCAACAACGACAGCGGCGGCGACUCCCCUCCUGGGCGUCCUCCUUUUUCGGAAGCUUGUCCUCAUCUCUGUCAAGGAGAUCGAUAAUUCUGUUGGCAUGGUUGUUGAUGACACAACAUUCCAUCGACUUUUUUUGGAGAUUAAAAUGCAGCACAAAGUGUGAAGAUGUUCUGGAAACAACAGCACGGGGCGCAGUGCACUCUCGCCGCACUCACGCCUCUGCCCAUGAGCUACAUACACUUGUUACUUGAACCCAAUUUCGGCUGGGCAUCAAUAUGAAAAUGUUUGCGUAAACCAGGAUUUCUUUGAACUUGGCUUAAAGGUAACCUGAAUUUGAAACUGUCGUUGUGUUCACCGUGUCUCCUGACUGUCGAGAUGACUCAGUGUGAGAUUCAAGACGACCCAGACAUAUGAAGAUGUAUUGGAUUUAAGAAGGGGAAUAGGCAAUUUGGUCAUCGGCGCAAGUGUUGAUCCCACUGUAUUGCGCAUUUAAGUCUGCUGUUGGGUUUAAAUGGACUUCACCAACAUUAGACUUGGACACGGACGCGUUCUCCGGCUUAAGCGUAUGGAGUCUCAGAUAAAUGUUUGUUAUGACCAGAGGAUUUACUGCCAGUGAGAAGGACGUCCGUUUCUGGAGAGCGGUUCGAGGAGGAAUUGUGUGUUCUGUGUGUUUAGUGCGUCUGUGGAAUGCGCACAGUGCGAUCCGUCGUCUCCACGUUAUCCGAGCUCACCUCUCCGCCGAGCGCAGAAAUUGACCGCUGACCAGGGUGAGCGGGG